GACGAACGCUGGCGGCGUGCUUAACACAUGCAAGUCGAACGGAAAGGCCCUGCUUUUGCGGGGUGCUCGAGUGGCGAACGGGUGAGUAACACGUGAGUAACCUGCCCUUGACUUUGGGAUAACUUCAGGAAACUGGGGCUAAUACCGGAUAGGAGCUCCUGCUGCAUGGUGGGGGUUGGAAAGUUUCGGCGGUUGGGGAUGGACUCGCGGCUUAUCAGCUUGUUGGUGGGGUAGUGGCUUACCAAGGCUUUGACGGGUAGCCGGCCUGAGAGGGUGACCGGCCACAUUGGGACUGAGAUACGGCCCAGACUCCUACGGGAGGCGGCAGUGGGGAAUAUUGCACAAUGGGCGGAAGCCUGAUGCAGCAACGCCGCGUGCGGGAUGACGGCCUUCGGGUUGUAAACCGCUUUCGCCUGUGACGAAGCGUGAGUGACGGUAAUGGGUAAAGAAGCACCGGCUAACUACGUG
rnacentral:rRNA from 1 species